rnacentral:rRNA from 1 species
GCCGUAGCGAAAGCAAGUCUGAAUAGGGCGUUGAGUAAUAUGCGGUAGACCCGAAACCGAGUGAUCUAGCCAUGGCCAGGAUGAAGUCCCGGUAACACGGGAUGGAGGUCCGAACCCACUUCGGUUGAAAACGGAGGGGAUGAGUUGUGGUUAGGGGUGAAAGGCCAAUCAAACUCAGAGAUAUCUGGUUCUCGCCGAAAUGCCUUUAGGGGCAGCGUUGUAUUAGUGUACCGGGGGUAGAGCACUGAAUGGGCUAGGGGGCCUACAAGCUUACCAACCCCAAUCAAACUCCGAAUACCGGAUACAUGAUGUAUAGCAGUGAGGCUAUGGGCGAUAAGGUUCAUAGCCGAGAGGGAAACAACCCAGAUCAACAGCUAAGGUCCCAAAAUUGAUACUAAGUGAUAAAGGAUGUCAAAUCGCCCAGACAGCUAGGAGGUUGGCUUAGAAGCAGCCAUCCUUUAAAGAAAGCGUAACAGCUCACUAGUCGAGGGGUUUUGCGCCGAUAAUAUCCGGGACUAUAAGUAUCAUACCGAAGCUUUGAGAUUCUUAGAAUCGGUAGGCGAGCGUUCCAUUGACCGUUGAAGGUGGACCCGUGAGGGCCGCUGGAGGAGAUGGAAAUGAGUAUGCUGGCAUGAGUAGCGAUAAACACAGUGAAAUUCUGUGUCGCCGUAAGCCCAAGGUUUCCUGAGUAAAGUAACUCUGCUCAGGGUUAGUCGGACCCUAAGUCGAGGCCGAAAGGCGUAGACGAUGGAAAACGGGUAAAAUAUUCCCGUACCAGCGGUUAAUUGUCUGAACUAAGGGGGGACGCAGGAGUGAAAGAUCAGCACGGUAUUGAAUAUCCGUGUCUAAGCAUGUAGGGUGAUCCGGUAGGCAAAUCCGCCGGAUCUUAUAACCUGAGAUGUGAAUGGGAAGCGCGCCUUCGGGCAAGCCAACUGAUCCUAAUCAGACUGCCAAGAAAAUCCUCUAUGUUAGAUUAACAGCUGACCGUACCGUAAACGGACACACGUGGGCGAGGAGAGUAUCCUCAGGCGCUAGAGAGAAUCAUGGUUAAGGAACUCGGCAAAAUGGCCCCGUAACUUCGGGAGAAGGGGUGCCCUUAUUAGGUGGAGAUCUUCGUGAUCCGAGCUGAACAGGGCCGCAGUGAAGAGGCCCAAUCGACUGUUUAUCAAAAACACAGGUCUCUGCUAAGUCGUAAGACGAAAUAUAGGGACUGACACCUGCCCGGUGCCGGAAGGUUAAAUGGAGAGGUUAGCACUUUGGUGCGAAGCUCUGAAAUGAAGCCCCGGUAAACGGCGGCCGUAACUAUAACGGUCCUAAGGUAGCGAAAUUCCUUGUCGGGUAAGUUCCGACCUGCACGAAUGGUGUAACGAAUUGGGCACUGUCUCUACUUGGAGCUCAGCGAAAUUGAAGU